rnacentral:rRNA from 1 species
AACGAACGCUGGCGGCAUGCCUAACACAUGCAAGUCGAACGAGACCUUCGGGUCUAGUGGCGCACGGGUGCGUAACGCGUGGGAACCUGCCCUUAGGUUCGGAAUAACUCCCCGAAAGGGGUGCUAAUACCGGAUAAUGUCUUCGGACCAACGAUUUAUCGCCUUUGGAUGGGCCCGCGUUGGAUUAGCUAGUUGGUAGGGUAAAAGCCUACCAAGGCGACGAUCCAUAGCUGGUCUGAGAGGAUGAUCAGCCACACUGGGACUGAGACACGGCCCAGACUCCUACGGGAGGCAGCAGUGGGGAAUAUUGGACAAUGGGCGAAAGCCUGAUCCAGCAAUGCCGCGUGAGUGAUGAAGGCCUUAGGGUUGUAAAGCUCUUUUACCCGGGAUGAUAAUGACAGUACCGGGAGAAUAAGCUCCGGCUAACUCCGUG